UAAGAAUUGGGGAUUCCACUACGGGUCAUUACUUUUACCCGUAGUGGUAUGUGUAGUUUUCACUACUGAUUGUUAUAAAUAUCAGUAGUGGUAUGUUAGUUUUAUUUAUUUAUUUUUUUUGUUUUUUUGUAGCUUCCUGUGCCUGCAUAUUAAUUAUAUGGUCUACACUUUUCCGGCGCAGAAAUUAUACGUACAACCUAGAAAUUACUAGUAGCUAAUAACGCACAAGAAAAUUGACAUAAUUCCGAAUA
rnacentral:lncRNA from 1 species